UGGGGAAUCUUCCGCAAUGGACGAAAGUCUGACGGAGCAACGCCGCGUGAGUGAUGACGGCCUUCGGGUUGUAAAGCUCUGUUAAUCGGGACGAAUGGUUCUUGUGCGAAUAGUGCGAGGAUUUGACGGUACCGGAAUAGAAAGCCACGGCUAACUACGUGCCAGCAGCCGCGGUAAUACGUAGGUGGCAAGCGUUGUCCGGAAUUAUUGGGCGUAAAGCGCGCGCAGGCGGAUCAGUUAGUCUGUCUUAAAAGUUCGGGGCUUAACCCCGUGAUGGGAUGGAAACUGCUGAUCUAGAGUAUCGGAGAGGAAAGUGGAAUUCCUAGUGUAGCGGUGAAAUGCGUAGAUAUUAGGAAGAACACCAGUGGCGAAGGCGACUUUCUGGACGAAAACUGACGCUGAGGCGCGAAAGCCAGGGGAGCGAACGGGAUUAGAUACCCCGGUAGUCCUGGCCGUAAACGAUGGGUACUAGGUGUAGGAGGUAUCGACCCCUCCUGUGCCGGAGUUAACGCAAUAAGUACCCCGCCUGGGGAGUACGACCGCAAGGUUG
rnacentral:rRNA from 1 species